GCUCCCAGUGCCUUCCCAGGAGCUCUCGUGGACCUCCUGGUGCCACCUCGAGGUUCUCAGACACUUCCCCAUCCUCCUUGAAGCCAUACCAGUAUGUCCCAGUAUGACCCAGUGUGUCCCAGUAUGUCCCUCUGGUCUAUUGGUGGUGCCCCAGUGCCUCCCAGUAGCUCCCAGUGCCUUCCCAGGAGCUCUCGUGGACCUCCUGGUGCCACCUCGAGGUUCUCAGACACUUCCCCAUCUUCCUUGAAGCCAUACCAGUAUGACCCAGUAUGUCCCAGUAUGUCCCUCUGGACUAUUGGCGGUGCCCCAGUGCCUCCCAGUAUCUCCCAGUACCACCCCAGAAGCUCUCAAAGCCCCACUGGUGCCACCUCGAGGUGCUCAGCUGUUUCCCCAUCCUCCCUGCUGCCAUCCCAGUUCCUCCCAGUAGCUCCCAGUGCACUCCUGGUGCCGCUCCAGCAUCUCCCAGUAAGGUCCAGUGCCCUCCCAGUGCCCCUCCGUAUCUCCCAGUGGCCCCUCGGCCCCUCCCAGUUCCUCCCAGUCCCGUCAGAGCUGACUCACUCCCCAGUACUUCCUCAAUACUGGGCAGGGCGGCACCUCCCAGUUGUUUCCUGUCUGUCCCAGUUGCUUCCAGUCUGCCCCAGUUGCCUCCCAGUCUGCCCCAGUUGCCUCCCAAUGGCCCUCAACCCCACCCCAGCAGCUCCCAGUGCCCUCCCAGUGCCCCUCAACCCCCUCCCAGUGCCCACCAGUCCCUCCCAGCCCCAAACCAGUCCCUCCCAGCCCCCUCCCAGCCCCCCCCAGUCCCCUCCCAGUUCAUCCCAGUGCCCACCAGUGGACUCAUCGGCAGCUAGGAUGCCCUUGCCGGGGGCCACGAUGCGCCGGGCGAUGUCGGCGAGCUCCUGCUUCUGCUCGGGGGUGAGCGCCGGGUACUGGUGCGGCAUGGUGGUGGCACUGGGGACAAGAUGGGGACAGCGUCAGGGGGACACCGGGGAACCCGGGGAGAACGUCGGGGACCCCGAGAACGUUGGGGACCCCAUGAGGAGCCCAUGGGGACAUCAGGAACCCCAAGAGGAACAUCAGGAACCCUACAGAGAACGUUGGGGACCCCAUGGAGAACCUCAAGAACCUCAUGGAGAACAUUGGGGUCUCCUUGGAGAACCCAUGGGGACAUCGGGGACCCCAUGGAGAACCCAUAGGGGACAUUGGGGACCCCAUGGGGGACAUUGGGGACCCUACAGAGAACCCUUGGAGAACGUUGGGGACCCCAAAAAGAACCCCAUGGGGACCCCAGGGACAGGGGAGGGUGGGAGGGGGCACCCAUGGGUGCUGAGGGGACACCGAGGGGACCUGGGGACACCCAAGGGACAGCGAGGAGGGACACAAGGGUGCCUGGGGACACCCAAGGGGACACCAAGGGGAGCUGGGGACACCCAAGGGACACCAAGGAGGG
rnacentral:lncRNA from 1 species